GGAAUUACUGGGCGUAAAGCGCGCGUAUGUGGUUCAGCAAGUUGGAUGUGAAAGCCCCGGGCUCAACCUGGGAACUGCAUCCAAAACUACUGAGCUAAGUACGGUAAGGGUGGUGGAAUUUCCUGUGUAGCGGUGAAAUGCGUAAUAUAGGAAGGAACACCAGUGGCGAAGGCGACCACCUGGACUGAUACUGACACUGAGGUGCGAAAGCGUGGGGAGCAAACAGGAUUAAUACCCUGGUAGUCAAGGGCG
rnacentral:rRNA from 1 species